rnacentral:lncRNA from 1 species
CACCGGGCCGGGGCACCUCGGGGCGCCGGGCGGGGAAAAGGGUCCGCGGCCAGGCCCGCACCUACCUCGUCCCCGAAGCGCACCACCUUCUGGCCCGUGGGCCCGCGCAAGCCGGGGAAGCGCGUGAGCUCCUCCGAGUCCCCGGGGUCUCGGGGCGCCGGGGCGCGCGGCCCCACCAGGCACCGGUCGAUGAUCUCGUCCUGCUGCGCGGGCGGCAGCCGCGCCCACUCGGGCCCGUACUUCUCGCGGAUCUUCUCCUUGUCCUGCAUGAUCUUCCUGGCCAUGGGGCUCAGCGACGAGAAACGCUGGGCCCGGGGCCUGGCGCGGUGAGCUGCAGAUAGCCGGGGGCGCAGGGCAGCCCGGAGGCCGGAGGGCGACCUGGAAGGCUGGACCCGUGCGGGGCGUCUGGUGCUCAAGGAAAGUCAGCUCCCGCCGCCCCUCAGGGCCAGGUGGGUGCAUGAAGUACCCGGUGGCCCAGGUGCCUUUCCCCAACCCAAGGAGCUCAGAACUCUUGGCAGUUCGACGUUUGCAAACAAACCAAAGAGGAGCAGAAAGUUUUCAGACUCAGAGGCGCCAUCCCAACAGUCUGGAGGCUGGAAGUCUGACAUUAGGAUGCCAGUGUGAUCAGAUUCUGAAAGAAAACUGAGGCAUCAGCAGAAGAGACUCACCUAAGCUUGUCCCUGACCACCCGCGCACCUCAUACUUUGGGACGGAAUUGAGAUCACAGAACAGGGUUCCUUUGUCUUUUGUUAAAUCUGUAACAUUGGAUCGAUGUGUCUAAGUUGGCUUGAAGGAGUACUUUAGGAUGCAGAACAACAGGAUGAAGACAGCAGCUAGAAUAGAACACACCAGCAGAGACGUUCAGCUCCUCGAGCUGUGCUUCCGAAGCUCAAGCAUGGCAGAGUGGCCUUGUUAAAUCAGAGUUGAGGGUGCCACCCUGACAGUUUCUGAUUCCGUAGGUGCCCAGUAGGGACCAAGAAUCCUUUUUUUUUUUUCCUUUUUCUUUUUAAUAGAGUCAGGGUCUUGCUAUGUUGCCCACGUGGGUCUCAAACUCAAGCGAUCCUCCCACCUCGACCUCCCAAAGCACUGGAAUUCCAGGCAUAAGCCACCGUGCCUGGCCAAGAACGUUUUUUUUUUUUUUUUAACAAGUUUCUAAAUGAUGCUGGUCUACUGGUCCUGGGACCACACUUUGAAAUUGGUGGGAUAGGAGGCUGGGAUCUUUAUCCAUUCACUCAACUCCCAUUCCCCAUGGUUGAAAGUUUCCCUGGGGCAUCCCUGGGAGGCCUGGGGGCUGACAAGAUUCAAACGUUUUGGUGAAAAGCCCCAAGACAGUGAAGUGGGGUGUGCUUGAAGUGGGGCACCGUCAUCACCCACCUACCCACCACAGAGGUGGGCUAAAAGUUACCAGACCGGAGCCUCCAGCAAUCCAGGAGCACAAACAAGGAUGCCUUAAAACAAAGCUUGUGUCAGGGUACCCUUCGCUGCCUCAGAGGAAAUCAGAAUGACCUGGUGGACAAUUGUUCAUAAGGACAAGAGCCAGCAUCACUGCCUUUGAGUCCCAGCCUCCUCGAAUCCAUUUUCUGCACUGCACCACCUCAUCAUAUCCCAGAUAUUGUUAGUGUCGUGUCAUUUCAUGACUCAGGAGCUGCGGGUGACUUUGCUGCCCUGACAUUUGUUAAAUUGGCUCCCGGGUCCUGGUUUGCAAAUGUUGCCACUUUGAGAUCCGUAGAUGGUCAUCCCUGGCUCCCUUGGGGAGUGUCCUGGAAUCCACCAGCUCCAUCUGCUCGACAAGAGACUUAAGUUUGUUCUGUUACCUCUUUCAUCAUUAGCCAAAGCUCCG